AAUUCUUUAUGUAGCUCAUUAGAGGUCAGGUCAGCUCCAGGACGGCUCCAGAUCUGAAAAUAAACAGUAGUUAAUUUAGAAUAUGUGUGCCAAAUUCCAUGCUUUUAUCACAAAAUGAACAAUUGUUUUGCUAUGGCGCCCCACUAAUAAGAUCAUUUGUGCCAACAAACA